GGAGAAGUACUCAAGAGGCUGAAGAGGACGGUUUGCUAAACCGUUAGGGUUCGAUUAGGGCCGCAUGGGUUCGAAUCCCAUCUUCUCCGCCA
rnacentral:tRNA from 3 species